AGCCCCGCCUCUCGUGGGGACCCGGCGUGAGAUCAAGAGGCGGGCCCUCUGAGGCGAGGGAGGUGCGGAAGGAAAUACAGAGGACAGAGGAACAUAUUUAGCUGCACCAUGAACAUGUACUCAGCAAAAUCCAUAUGGUGGGGAACUCUACAGUCAAGGUCAAACUCUACAGGUCAAUGUAUUCUUCAACAGAUUCAUUGAAGAUGAGGAAAUGGAAAUCUCAUGGAAUCAGACCAUUUUUGCCAGCUUUCUCUCCUGACCCCUUUCACCUUGCACCAGUCCCGUACUGAGCAGUGCACCUUCUAGGGAACAGCUUGGCCAGAUUACACAGGUGUACACACAAUAUGACUCAGU